GUCACGAAAAACCAGCGGGGUCACGUUGAUGCGGAUGGUCUGCCAUCCACGGUGGAUGAGAUGGGAAUUGACGUCAGCCCCCACUGAGUUGAGGGGGCCUUAAAGAGGGCAGACUACGAUGAGGGAUGUGAUGAGGAGCUCCCUAGCCUGAAACCAACUCCACUGGUCCGGACAAGGUCAGCAAAGUCAAGUCCACAAAGAACCAGAAGACAGUGGAGAUUAAAGAUCGCAUCUGACAAGUAAUGGGAGACUGGGUGGCUUCACAGAAUACACUGCAAAGUGUGCAGUGUGCAGUGUGACACCCCCAGUCACCCCUGCCCCCCAGCUAUCAGUCAAGCACCCAGAAAAGAAACUAAAGAGACGAUCACCCCAGUGAACGUCAAGGAAAAGAUCACAAAGACACAGAAGGAUUUACUGCCGUAUGAUGACAUUGACCAGAUUCAGCUGAAGAUGUCGAGGGUUGUGCUCUCUCUGUUGGUGGGCCUGAGUGUGGCUGAUGAGGCCAGUUCCUGAUGUACACACUUGAGGACAGUGAGGGCAUUGGAAGGAAGCAGCAUAGGUGGGAGCAAAAACAUGGACCGACAGUGAGUCCCCAAGGACCGGAUUGGAAAACACUGAAGUUUAGACUUUCUGAGGAAUUCCAAGGGCACAAUGAUGCUCUGGAGGGGAUGCAAUUGCUCUUGAUUAUUUUAUUUAGAAUUUUUUUGGUCUACCAGAAUAUACUU